rnacentral:tRNA from 1 species
ACGCCCUUAGCUCAAUUGGUAGAGCAACGGACUCUUAAUCCGUAGGUUGAAGGUUCGAGUCCUUCAGGGCGUA